rnacentral:lncRNA from 1 species
CCCUCAUUCAUUCCCAUACUGUCCCCACGUCCCCUCAUUCAUUCCCAUACUGUCCCCAUGUCCCCUCAUUCACUCCCAUACUGUCCCCACGUCCCCUCAUUCAUUCCCAUACUGUCCCCACGUCCCCUCAUUCAUUCCCAUUCUGUCCCCAUAUUCCCUCAUUCAUUCCCAUACUGUCCCCAUAUCCCCUCAUUCAUUCCCGUACUGUCCCCAUAUCCCCUCAUUCACUCCCAUUCUGUCCCCAUAUCCCCUCAUUCAUCCCGCAGCUCUUUGGGUCGCCGUUCGGGUUCUGCUGCUGCUGGCGGUUCUGGCUGCUGCUCUGGGUUUCCUUAUGGGGCUGUCGGCGGCUGGAGCCGCUCGGAGGGAGCAGGGACGAGCGGCUGGGAUCAGUAUGGGGCUGGCUGGGCUGCUGGCGCUGCUGGCUCUGUCCCUGUGCUCGGUGGUGACACGGGGCAGCGCCUGGAGCUUCUCCUGGUCCUACAUCCUGGGCUGGGUCGGCGUCGUCCUCAUCAGCUCUGCAGGGCUCUUCCAUCUCUGUGCUGCUGCAAAGGACCCGACCCCAGAGAGCUCUGAGUCGGGGGGAGGAUGAGGGGUGAUGGGACCCCCAAACUGCUCCCCCCACAGCGCCCCAUCGGAGCGGGGCUGUGCAGUCACCAUAACCCUAAACCUAACCCUAAACCUAACCCUAACACUAACACUAACCCUAACACUAACCCUAACUCCAGCCCCAAUCCUAACCCUAACCCUAAACCCCAAUCCUAACCCCAACCCUAACCCUAACCCUAACCCCAACCCUAACCCUAACCCU